rnacentral:rRNA from 1 species
AUUGAACGCUGGCGGCAUGCUUUACACAUGCAAGUCGAACGGCAGCACGGGCUUCGGCCUGGUGGCGCGUGGCGAACGGGUGAGUAAUAUAUCGGAACGUACCCAGUAGUGGGGGAUAACGUAGCGAAAGUUACGCUAAUACCGCAUACGAUCUAUGGAUGAAAGCAGGGGACCGCAAGGCCUUGUGCUCCUGGAGCGGCCGAUAUCUGAUUAGCUAGUUGGUGAGGUAAAGGCUCACCAAGGCGACGAUCAGUAGCUGGUCUGAGAGGACGACCAGCCACACUGGAACUGAGACACGGUCCAGACUCCUACGGGAGGCAGCAGUGGGGAAUUUUGGACAAUGGGCGCAAGCCUGAUCCAGCAAUGCCGCGUGAGUGAAGAAGGCCUUCGGGUUGUAAAGCUCUUUUGUCAGGGAAGAAACGGUAGAGGCUAAUAUCCUUUGCUAAUGACGGUACCUGAAGAAUAAGCACCGGCUAACUACGUG